AUGGAUCUUCAUUGUCAUUCUCUCUCACAACACAUUCCCAUGCUUCCGACUUCAUCAAGAUCGCUUUUUGUGCUCUAGUUGAAGCUAAUUGUUCAAAUUUCAUCUUGGAUGGUAUUUCUAUUUCAUGCGAAGGCCGCUUCGUAACUGAGUCUGGAGAGUGCCUCGAAAUGUAUCCUAAUUGCCCAUUGAAUCUCAUCCCCAAAAUACAUUAUAUCUCCCUCUGGUAUUGCGCCAUUCGUUUCAAUUCCAAGAAAAUCCGUAUUAGAGAGGCCUCAUUUCAAUUCUUCAUACCUGGG
rnacentral:misc_RNA from 1 species